GAUGAACGCUGGCGGCGUGCCUAAUACAUGCAAGUCGAGCGAACGGACGAGAAGCUUGCUUCUCUGAUGUUAGCGGCGGACGGGUGAGUAACACGUGGAUAACCUACCUAUAAGACUGGGAUAACUUCGGGAAACCGGAGCUAAUACCGGAUAAUAUUUUGAACCGCAUGGUUCAAAAGUGAAAGACGGUCUUGCUGUCACUUAUAGAUGGAUCCGCGCUGCAUUAGCUAGUUGGUAAGGUAACGGCUUACCAAGGCAACGAUGCAUAGCCGACCUGAGAGGGUGAUUGGCCACACUGGAACUGAGACACGGUCCAGACUCCUACGGGAGGCAGCAGUAGGGAAUCUUCCGCAAUGGGCGAAAGCCUGACGGAGCAACGCCGCGUGAGUGAUGAAGGUCUUCGGAUCGUAAAACUCUGUUAUUAGGGAAGAACAUAUGUGUAAGUAACUGUGCACAUCUUGACGGUACCUAAUCAGAAAGCCACGGCUAACUACGUGCCAGCAGCCGCGGUAAUACGUAGGUGGCAAGCGUUAUCCGGAAUUAUUGGGCGUAAAGCGCGCGUAGGCGGUUUUUUAAGUCUGAUGUGAAAGCCCACGGCUCAACCGUGGAGGGUCAUUGGAAACUGGAAAACUUGAGUGCAGAAGAGGAAAGUGGAAUUCCAUGUGUAGCGGUGAAAUGCGCAGAGAUAUGGAGGAACACCAGUGGCGAAGGCGACUUUCUGGUCUGUAACUGACGCUGAUGUGCGAAAGCGUGGGGAUCAAACAGGAUUAGAUACCCUGGUAGUCCACGCCGUAAACGAUGAGUGCUAAGUGUUAGGGGGUUUCCGCCCCUUAGUGCUGCAGCUAACGCAUUAAGCACUCCGCCUGGGGAGUACGACCGCAAGGUUGAAACUCAAAGGAAUUGACGGGGACCCGCACAAGCGGUGGAGCAUGUGGUUUAAUUCGAAGCAACGCGAAGAACCUUACCAAAUCUUGACAUCCUUUGACAACUCUAGAGAUAGAGCUUUCCCCUUCGGGGGACAAAGUGACAGGUGGUGCAUGGUUGUCGUCAGCUCGUGUCGUGAGAUGUUGGGUUAAGUCCCGCAACGAGCGCAGCCCUUAAGCUUAGUUGCCAUCAUUAAGUUGGGCACUCUAAGUUGACUGCCGGUGACAAACCGGAGGAAGGUGGGGAUGACGUCAAAUCAUCAUGCCCCUUAUGAUUUGGGCUACACACGUGCUACAAUGGACAAUACAAAGGGCAGCGAAACCGCGAGGUCAAGCAAAUCCCAUAAAGUUGUUCUCAGUUCGGAUUGUAGUCUGCAACUCGACUACAUGAAGCUGGAAUCGCUAGUAAUCGUAGAUCAGCAUGCUACGGUGAAUACGUUCCCGGGUCU
rnacentral:rRNA from 1 species